GACGAACGCUGGCGGCGUGCCUAAUACAUGCAAGUUGAGCGCUGAAGGUUGGUACUUGUACCGACUGGAUGAGCAGCGAACGGGUGAGUAACGCGUGGGGAAUCUGCCUUUGAGCGGGGGACAACAUUUGGAAACGAAUGCUAAUACCGCAUAAAAACUUUAAACACAAGUUUUAAGUGUGAAAGAUGCAAUUGCAUCACUCAAAGAUGAUCCCGCGUUGUAUUAGCUAGUUGGUGAGGUAAAGGCUCACCAAGGCGAUGAUACAUAGCCGACCUGAGAGGGUGUUCGGCCAACUUGGGACUGAGACACGGCCCAAACUCCUACGGGAGGCAGCAGUAGGGAAUCUUCGGCAAUGGACGAAAGUCUGACCGAGCAACGCCGCGUGAGUGAAGAAGGUUUUCGGAUCGUAAAACUCUGUUGGUAGAGAAGAACGUUGGUGAGAGUGGAAAGCUCAUCAAGUGACGGUAACUACCCAGAAAGGGACGGCUAACUACGUG
rnacentral:rRNA from 1 species